AACGAACGCUGGCGGCAGGCCUAACACAUGCAAGUCGAGCGCGCCUUCGGGUGCGCGGCGGACGGGUGAGUAACGCGUGGGAAUAUGCCCUUCUCUACGCAAUAGUCCUGGGAAACUGGGGGUAAUACCGUAUACGCCCUUUGGGGGAAAGAUUUAUCGGGGAAGGAUUAGCCCGCGUUGGAUUAGGUAGUUGGUGGGGUAAUGGCCUACCAAGCCGACGAUCCAUAGCUGGUUUGAGAGGAUGAUCAGCCACACUGGGACUGAGACACGGCCCAGACUCCUACGGGAAGCAGCAGUGGGGAAUCUUAGACAAUGGGGGCAAGCCUGAUCUAGCCAUGCCGCGUGAGUGAUGAAGGCCUUAGGGUUGUAAAGCUCUUUCAGCUGGGAAGAUAAUGACGGUACCAGCAGAAGAAGCCCCGGCUAACUCCGUG
rnacentral:rRNA from 1 species